rnacentral:rRNA from 1 species
AUUGAACGCUGGCGGCAGGCUUAACACAUGCAAGUCGAGCGAGCGGCGGACGGGUGAGUUAUGUCUGGGAAACUGCCUGAUGGAGGGGGAUAACUUCUGGAAACGGUAGCUAAUACCGCAUACUAUCAGAUGUGCCCAGCUGGGAUUAGCUAGUAGGUGGGGUAGUGGCUCACCUAGGCGACGAUGCCUAGCUGGUCUGAGAGGAUGACCAGCCACACUGGAACUGAGACACGGGCCAGACGCCUACGGGAGGCAGCAGUGGGGAAUAUUGCGCAAUGGGCGCAAGCGUGAUGCAGCCAUGCCGCGUGUGUGAAGAAGGCCUUCGGGUUGUAAAGCACUUUCAGCGAGGAGGCGUUACUCGCAGAAGAAGCACCGGCUAACUCCGUGCCAGCAGCCGCGGUAAUUC